UUGCACAAUGGGGGGNAACCCUGGAUGCAGCCAUGUCCGCGUGUGUGAAGAAGGCCUUCGGGUUGUAAAGCACUUUCAGCGAGGAGGAAAGGUUGGUAGCUAAUAACUGCCAGCUGUGACGUUACUCGCAGAAGAAGCACCGGCUAACUCCGUGCCAGCAGCCGCGGUAAUACGGAGGGUGCAAGCGUUA
rnacentral:rRNA from 1 species